UUUUAUUGCAUAUUGAAAUAAAUAUUUCUGUAUCAAUCUGUGUUGUGUUUGUUUAUUUUUAUUUUUCUUAGGAAGAUAACUGACCUUUUACUCUCCUUUUUAAAAUAUGUCCUUAUAAACCAAGAAAAAGUUAUUUAUAGCUGUAUUUAUAAGCUGCUUACUAAUGACUAUUAAUGUUGGGACAAGACUUUAUAAAGCACGAACUGACUAUUUACUAAUGAGUGCAGUUAUUAUAAAGUGUUACCAAUGCAUUUACUAAUGUUAGCAAAUAAGACAUUAUUUUACAGUGUUAUCAAAUCCUUAAAUGAUUUAUAAGUGUUCUGCUUGCAUUACAGCUUAGUCUUCAUCUGUGAGCUGAACAGAUUUACUGUUACAUCCAUGACAUUAUGUAAAUUCAAAUAAAUAGCAUGUCAGAGGAUGUCAUAGGUCAGUAUCAAAUGAGUUUGAAAUUAUUAUUUGCAGCACAAAUAAGGUUUUUUAGGAUUUUUUAAAAUCCCUAAAACUGUCAGAAAAGGAUAAGGCCUAAGAUAUUUCUAUGUGAGUGGCUAAAUUUAUUUUUGUUUUUAUAAUUGUAAUACAUAAACUAUGAAAUUAUACAAAAUGUAUAAAAAAGUAAAUAAAUAAAUACGCUACAUUAAAAAAGCAGCCAAGACAAAUGAGUCUCCUUUUUUAUAUAUAUAGAUUAAAAUUGAAGACAGAAGCAGCUGGUAUAUGCGGUCACUUAAUAUUCAAAUCCAGUAGAUCCACUUCAGAUUUAUUUCUCAACAGUUUAUGUUCACGUGGCUGUUUUCGUUUAUAUUCGCCAAGCUAUUAUGUAUUUUGAAAUAAUCUUGUCCGUGAUGUGUUCGUUCGUACGACGAAAGGCAGAAUCCUGCAGCUCGAGAGAUAUAUGUUAUUGUGCCCGUCGCGCUUUCAAAUAGUCUUGCACACUUAAACGGGUCACAAACACCUGUAUUUAGCUCUUGUUGUGUUAUAAUGUGUGUAUUGUGUGCAUUUAUGGCAAUAUUUUAUUUUAAAAAGCUCUUAAACAAGAAUAAAUUUGUUAGUUUUGAACUUGUGGCACUGUGCGCGCUGAUCGGAGCGGUGAUUUCAGAUAGGCAGCCACAAAUAUUUAAUUUUCACACAAACAGUUCAAAAACAUCUUAAUUUAGCUCUUGGUGUGUUCUAAUUUGUGAAUUGUGUGAUAUCGCUGCAAUACUUUAUUCUUAAUAGCUAUGAAACAAGAAUAAACUCGUUUUUUCUGAGCUCGUCAUUCCACACGCUCCUGCUCAGAGCGGUGAUUAAUCUCUCCUGUUUCUCACGUAUCACUGACCACACAUCAAUUAUUAAUGAGCCCUGACCCGGUAAUAAUCAUAUAUGUUGGUUUAGCUUGUCAGUGUGAAUUAAAUCUAAGUAUUUAUUUGUAUUUUAACCGAUUUAAAAGAGAAACUAAAACUCCGGUAAUUACACCUGUAGGGGCGCAAUUUCUCUCAGACAAUGGAAGUCUAAUCACAUACACUCAAACAGAGGGACAGAAGUGAGAUGAGAUGUCUGACAGUUUUUUAAUUUUCUGUUACCCAUACAGUGUUGUAAAGUCGUGAAACUAUCCAUAUUUACUCAGAAUGACUUUUUGUCUGUAUGAAAAAAGGUUUUGAAGUGUUUGGAAUUAAAAAAUGCAGGAAAAUUAAUAAUUCCAUUUUUAAUGUCAUUUAAAAAAAAUCACAGAGACAAAACCGUUCAAGCUAUCCAAAAUCUAUUGGCAAUUUAAGUUGUUUAAAAUGUUUUGGCAUCAUGUAGACAAAAUUUGGUGUGUAUAGUGUUACUCUCCUCUGAGCAGUAUGCAUUAAUUCACAGCUAAAUGUAAAAAAAAAAUCCACAUUCAAAUCAAAAUAGCUGACUUCCUGUUGAUCGUAGCUGAUGACUGUGAAUUAGAAAGUUGUCCGUCUUGAUGAGAACAAUUUUUGUACCGAGUUUGGUGUCUGUAGCUAAAACUAACCCCCCCACUUUUGACAAAAGGUGGCGCUAUAGAGUGCCUCUUCCACGCCCUCUUAUGAACUUUUGCCAGUGUCUAGUUAUCAUAAAUACUGAUAUGUGUUCUGAGUUUGAUGAAAUUCUAAGCAUGUUAUAUGCCUCAAAAUCACCUGAGAAGUAUUCCAGUUUAACAUGUUGCCACGGCAACAAUAUUUUUAGAUAUCAAUAUCCCCCCAGCAGAUUUAUAUAGGCUGUGUUUUAACAUUAUUCUGAUGAAGUUUGAAGCAAAUUGAGUAAUAAUAAGAUGCUGAAUUCAAAGCAUUUUGAAAAUGACACACUUCCUGCUGCCAGUUGGUGGCGCUAUAACUUUGACUCCUAAUAGUCACAUAUAUGCGAUCGACAUCAUACAAAAAAUAAUCUGAUGAAGUUUGAUUAAAAUCAGGAAAUGUAUGUGGAUGGUAUUAGACACUUCCUGUUUCUCAUUUCUCGCCAUAAUUUCAACACCUCGCCACGAGCAAACCGUUAGAGAUAUCAAAAAUCCCCUCGCAAUUUUUCAUCCCCAAUGUCUUGAGAUCAUGUUGACCGAAUUUGGUGGCAAUCUGCAAAAAAACCUAUGACAAGUAUUUCAAAUUCCAGAGCAUGCGCUUUUUACAUAACUCUAAAUAGCUGACUUCCUGUUGGGCGGAGCCUAUGACAUGCAAUACGAAAGUUGUUCGGCACGAUGAGAUCUAUAUGUGUACUGAGUUUCAUAUGCAUAUGUGUGAGUAUGUGUGAGCUAUACAUCAACAUUUCUGACUGUGAUCCAGGGGGCGCCGUAGAGCCCUUGUGCCACGCCCGGGUCCCAGCCUCUGCAGGCUCCUAAAGGCCACAGAUUCCAAAGUGUGCGCAAAUUUUCAAGAGUUUUUGAGUAUGUUAAGGACCCCAAAAGCCCCCACAACUUUGACGAAAAAUAUGAAUACUAAACCCUAAAUAACCAACUUCCUGUUGGGCGGAGCCUAUGACAUGCAGUACGAAAGUUGUUUGGUUUGAUGAGAUCUACAUGUGUACCGAGUUUCGUGUGUCUACGUGCAAGUAUGUAUGAUAUAUGGCCCUCAGUAUUCCAGGGGACGCUGUAGAGCCCCUGUGCCACGCCCGUAUAUCUGUCUCUGCCCAGCCCUAAUGGCCGCAGGUUCCAAGGUGUGUGCCAAAUUUCAAGAGUUUUCGAGCAUGUUAAGGACCCCAAAAGCCCCCGUAACGUUGGAAAAAAUAAUAAUAAUAAUAAAAAAUAAUCCUAAGGAAAACAAUAGGGCUCUCGCCCUCCAGGCUUGAGCCCUAAUUAAAGCUGCAAGCAGCGAUGAACGGGCCCUCGCACCCGGGCUCACCGCCAACGAGUGGCUUUAGUAAAAAGGUGAACAGUGAGAAAUAUGCAUUUAAUGUGCUAAAUAUAAGUGGAAUAUAUCAAAGUAUAUCCCAUAUAUGUGCCAAUCUUACCGUUGCCAGCAGGUGGCGCUAUCAUUAUAAUGGAAUAUUGGCCUUCAGAUGUGUUCAGGCCAGGACACUUAUCAAACAUGUGAAGUUUGGGGAAGAUUGAACAUUUUAUGCUUGAGUUACAACAACUUCUCUUGCUGUGGCAAGACAUCAAAUUUUGUCAUGGCGCCAUGGAAACGCCCUUUAACAAAAACUCAAGAUCUCCAAAAGUUAACAUUGCACAGGCCUUUAGAUUAGAUUGACCACAAAAUAUAUGUUAAUCUCAAAAAAAUUAUAGGAGUAUUUUGUCGCAGUGUAAAACAUGUCACUUCCUGUUGCCAAUAGGUGGCGCUAUGACUAUAACUGAAUGUGGGCAAGUAGAUCUGUUAAAGGCAGAAGUUUUAUCUAACAUGUGAAGUUUGGGGCAGAUUGGACAUUGUAUGUCUGAGUUACAGCAACUUCCUUUUUCAUGGCGAAACAUCAAAAUUUGUCAGGCCGCCAUGGACACGCCCUUUAACGAAAUCUAAAGAUCUUCGCAAUUUAACAUCGCAAAGAGCUUAAGAUUACACUGACCAGGUUUGGUGUUGAUCUGAAUAAAUCUCUAGGAGGAGUUCGUUAAAGUACAACCCCUGAAAAUGGCAAAAACAAAGCCAAUUUUGCAGAGAAAAUUCUAAAUAACCGACUUCCUGUUGGGAUUCGGAUUUCGUACCAAGAGACUUUUUUGUAGGUAUUGGUGUGUUACAUGUGUAUACCGAUUUUUGUACAUGUACGUGAAACAUAGCUCGAGGCGCACUCUGUUGAAAGUGUAUAGGUGGCGCUAUCGAGCCAUUUUGCCACACCUGAUGGAAUUUUGGCCUUCAGAUGUGUUCAGGCCAGGACUCUUAUCACACAUGUGCAGUUUGGGGAAGAUCGGACAUUUUAUGCCUGAGUUAUAACAUCUUUUAUUCCCAUGGCGAGACAUCGAACUUCGUGAUGGCGCCAUGGACACGCCUUUUAACGAAAACUCAAGAUCUUCACAACUUAACAUCGCACAGGCCUUUAGAUUAGACUGACCACAUAAAAUACAUUGAGGUCAUAAAAUUUCUAGGAGUAGUUCAUCGCAGUGUAAAAUAUGUCACUUCCUGUUGCCAAUAGGUGGCGCUAUGACUAUAACUGAAUAUGGGCAUGUCAAUCUGUUCAGGUCAGGAGUCUCAUCAAACAUGUGAAGUUUGGGGCAGAUUGGUCAUUGUAUGUCUGAGUUAUAGCAACUUCCUGUUUCAUGGCGAAUCAUCGAAAUUCGCCAGGCCGCCACGGACACGCCCAUUAACGAAAACUCAAAAGCUUUGCAAUUUAACAUCGCAAAGGCCUUCAGAUUAGGCAUACCAAAUUUGGUGUUGAUCUGAAUGAAUCUCUAGGAGGAGUUCGUUAAAAUACAACGCAUGGAAAUGACAAAAAUGACACAAAAUUUGCUCAUAUUAUUAGUUUUAACUGACUUCCUGUUGGGUUUCGGAUUUUGCUCCAAGAGACUUUUUUGUAGGUAUUGGAGAGUUACAUGUGUAUACUGAUUUUCAUACAUGUACAUGAAACGUAGCUCGAGGCGCACACCGUUGAACGUGUAUAAGUGGCGCUGUUGAGCCAUUUUGCCACACCCACUUCUGAAACCCAUAUCAGACGUAAAUUUUCACCAGUUCUGAGGUGUGUGCAAAGUUUCAUGACUUUUCGAGCAUGUUUAGGCCCUCAAAAAUGCGAUUCAUUUUGGAGAAUAAUAAUAAUAAUAAUAAUAAUAAUAAUAAUAAUAAUAAUAAUAAUAAUAAUAAUAAUAAUAAACGGAGCAAUUCCAAGAGGGUCCUCACACCAUCGGUGCUCGGGCCCUAAUUAAAGCUGCAAGCAGCGAUGAACGGGCCCUCGCACCCGGGCUCACCGCCAUCGUGUGGCUUUAGUAAAAAGGUGAACGUUGAGAAAUAUGCAUUUAAUGUCCUAAAUAUGAGUGGAAUAUAUCAAAGUAUAUCCCAUAUAUGUGCCAAUCUUACCGUUGCCAGCAGGUGGCGCUAUCAUUAUAAUGGAAUAUUGGCCUUCAGAUGUGUUCAGGCCAGGACUCUUAUCAAACAUGUGAAGUUUGGGGAAGAUUGAACAUUUUAUGCUUGAGUUACAACAACUUCUCUUGCUGUGGCAAGACAUCAAAUUUUGUCAUGGCGCCAUGGAAACGCCCUUCAACAAAAACUCAAGAUCUCCACAAGUUAACAUUGCACAGGCCUUUAGAUUAGACUGACCACAAAAUAUAUGUUAAUCUAAAAAAAAUUAUAGGAGUAGUUUGUCGCAGCGUAAAACAUGUCACUUCCUGUUGCCAAUAGGUGGCGCUAUGACUAUAACUGAAUGUGGGCAUGUAGAUCUGUUAAGGGCAGAAGUUUUAUCUAACAUGUGAAGUUUGGGGCAGAUUGGACAUUGUAUGUCUGAGUUACAGCAACUUCCUUUUUCAUGGCGAAACAUCGAAAUUUGUCAGGCCGCCAGGGACCCGCCCUUUAACGAAAUCUAAAGACCUCCACAAUUUAACAUCGCAAAGGGCUUAAGAUUACACUGAACAGGUUUGGUGUUGAUCUGAAUAAAUCUGUAGGAGGAGUUUGUUAAAGUACAACCCCUGAAAAUGGCAAAAACAACACCAAUUUUGCAGAGAAAAUUCUAAAUAACCGACUUCCUGUUGGGAUUCGGAUUUCGUACCAAGAGACUUUUUUGUAGGUAUUGGUGUGUUACAUGUGUGUACCAAUUUUUUGUACAUGUACGUGAAACAUAGCUCGAGGCGCACUCUGUUGAAAGUGUAUAGGUGGCGCUAUCGAGCCAUUCUGCCACACCCGGUGGAAUAUUGGCCUUCAGAUCUGUUCAGGCCAGGCCUCUUAUCACACAUGUGAAGUUUGGGGAAGAUCGGACAUUUUAUGCCUGAGUUAUAACAUCUUUUAUUCCCAUGGCGAGACAUCGAACUUCAUCGCGGCGCCAUGAACAAGCCUUUUAACGAAAACUCAAGAUCUUCACAACUGAACAUCGCACAGGCCUUUAGAUUAGACUGACCAGAAAAAAGACAUUGAUGUCAUAAAAUUUCUAGGAGUAGUUCGUCGCAGCGUAAAUUAUGUCACUUCCUGUUGCCAAUAGGUGGCGCUAUGAUUAUAACUGAAUAUGGGCAUGUCAAUCUGUUCAGGUUCGGAAUCUCAUCAAACAUGUGAAGUUUGGGGCAGAUUGGACAUUGUAUGUGUCAGUUAUAGCAACUUCAUUUUUCAUGGCGAAUCAUCGAAAUUCGCCAGGCCGCCACGGACACGCCCUUCAACGAAAACUCAAGAUCUUCGCAAUUUAACAUCGCAAAGGCCUUUAGAUUAGGCAUACCACAUUUUGUGUUGAUUUGAAGAAAUCUCUAGGAGGAGUUCGUUAAAAUACAACACAUGGAAAUGACCAAAAUUACACAAAAUUUGCUCAUAAUAUUAAAAAUAACCGACUUCCUGUUGGGUUUAGAAUUUCUCUCCAAGAGUCUUUUUUGUAGGUAUUGGUGUGUUACAUAUGUAUGCCAAUUUUCGUGCAUGUACGUGAAACAUAGCUGGAAGGCUGUUGAUUUUCUUGGUAUAGGUGGCGCUGUCGAGCCAUUUUGCCACACCCUCUUCUGAAUCCUAUAUCAGACGAAAAUUUUCACCAGGUUUGACGCGUGUGCAAAGUUUCAUGACUUUUUGAGCAUGUUAAAGCCCUCAAAAAUGCGAUUCAUUCGGGAGAAGAAGAAGAAGAAGAAGAAUAAUAAUAAUAAUAAUAAUAAUAAACAAAGCAGAUACAAGAGGGUCCUCGCACCUCGGUGCUCGGGCCCUAAUUAAAGCUGCAAGCAGCGAUGAACGGGCCCUCGCACCCGGGCUCACCGCCAUCGUGUGGCUCUAGUAAAAAGGUGAACAUUGAGAAAUAUGCAUUUCAAAUCGUAAAUAUAAGUGGAAUAUAUCAAAGUCAUUUAUUAUGUGCCAAUCUCCCUGUUGCCAACAGGUGGCGCUAUCAUUAUAAUGGAAUAUUGGCCUUCAGAUGUGUUCAGGCCAGGACUCUUAUCAAACAUGUGAAGUUUGGGGAAGAUUGAACAUUUUAUGCUUGAGUUACAACAAUUUCUCUUGCUGUGGCAAGACAUCAAAUUUUGUCAUGGCGCCAUGGAAACGCCCUUUAACAAAAACUCAAGAUCUCCAAAAGUUAACAUUGCACAGGCCUUUAGAUUAGACUGACCACAAAAUAUAUGUUAAUCUAAAACAUAUCUAAAAAUUAUAGGAGUAGUUUGUCGCAGCGUAAAACAUGUCACUUCCUGUUGCCAAUAGGUGGCGCUAUGACUAUAACUGAAUGUGGGCAUGUAGAUCUGUUAAGGGCAGAAGUUUUAUCUAACAUGUGAAGUUUGGGGCAGAUUGGACAUUGUAUGUCUGAGUUACAGCAACUUCCUUUUUCAUGGCGAAACAUCGAAAUUUGUCAGGCCGCCAUGGACACGCCCUUUAACGAAAUCUAAAGAUCUUCGCAAUUUACCAUCGCAAAGGGCUUAAGAUUACACUGACCAGGUUUGGUGUUGAUCUGAAUAAAUCUCUAGGAGGAGUUCGUUAAAGUACAACCCCUGAAAAUGGCAAAAACAACUCCAAUUUUGCGGAGAAAAUUCUAAAUAACCAACUUCCUGUUGGGAUUCGGAUUUCGUACCAAGAGACUUUUUUGUAGGUAUUGGUGUGUUACAUGUGUAUACCGAUUUUUGUACAUGUACGUGAAACAUAGCUCGAGGCGCACUCUUUUGAAAGUGUAUAGGUGGCGCUAUCGAGCCAUUUUGCCACACCUGAUGGAAAUUUGGCCAACAGAUGUGUUCAGGCCAGGACUCUUAUCACAAAUGUGCAGUUUGGGGAAGAUCGGACAUUUUAUGCCUGAGUUAUAACAUAUUUUAUUCCCAUGGCGAGACAUCGAACUUCGUGACGGCGCCAUGGACAUGCCUUUUAACGAAAACUCAAGAUCUUCACAACUUAACAUCGCAGAGGCCUUUAGAUUAGACUGACCACAAAAAAUACAUUGAUGUCAUAAAAUUUCUAGGAGUAGUUCAUUGCAGUGUAAAAUAUGUAACUUCCUGUUGCCAAUAGGUGGCGCUAUGACUAUAACUGAAUAUGGGCAUGUCAAUCUGUUCAGGUCAGGAGUCUCAUCAAAUAUGUGAAGUUUGGGGCAGAUUGGUCAUUGUAUGUCUGAGUUAUAGCAACUUCCUGUUUCAUGGCGAAUCAUCGAAAUUCGACAGGCCGCCACGGACACGCCCAUUAACGAAAACUCAAAAGCUUCGCAAUUUAACAUCGCAAAGGCCUUCAGAUUAGGCAUACCAAAUUUGGUGUUGAUCUGAAUGAAUCUCUAGGAGGAGUUCGUUAAAAUACAAGGCAUGGAAAUGACAAAAAUGACACAAAAUUUGCUCAUAAUAUUAGUAAUAACCGACUUCCUGUUGGGUUUCGGAUUUUGCUCCAAGAGACUUUUUUGUAGGUAUUGGAGAGUUACAUGUGUAUACCGAUUUUCAUACAUGUACAUGAAACGUAGCUCGAGGCGCACACCGUUGAACGUGUAUAGGUGGCGCUGUUGAGCCAUUUUGCCACACCCACUUCUGAAACCCAUAUCAGACGUAAAUUUUCGCCAGUUCUGAGGUGUGUGCAAAGUUUCAUGACUUUUCGAGCAUGUUUAGGCCCUCAAAAAUGCGAUUCAUCUUAGAGAAUAAUAAUAAUAAUAAUAAUAAUAAUAAUAAUAAUAAACGGAGCAAUUCCAAGAGGGUCCUCACACCAUCGGUGCUCGGGCCCUAAUUAAAGCUGCAAGCAGCGAUGAACGGGCCCUCGCACCCGGGCUCACCGGCAGCGAGUGGCUUUAGUUAAUAGGUGAUCAGUGAGAAAUAUGCUUUUAAACUCAUAAAUAUAAGUAGAAUAUAUCAAGGUUUAUUCCAUAUAUGUGCCAAUCUUCCUGUUGCCAGCAGGUGGCGCUAUCAUUAUAAUGGAAUAUUGGCCUUCAGAUGUGUUCAGGGCAGGAUGUUUAUCACACAAGUGAAGUUUGGGCAAGAUCGGACAUUUUAUGCCUGAGUUAUAACAACAUCCUAUUUCAUGGCGAAACAUCGAAAUUUGUCAGGCCGCCAUGGACACGCCCUUUAACGAAACCUCAAGAUCUUCGCAAUUUAAGAUCGCAAAAGGCUUUAGAUUACACUGACCAAGUUUGGUGUUGAUCGGAAUAAAUCUCUAGGAGGAGUUUGUUAAAGUACAACCCCUGAAAAUGGCCAAAACAACACUAAUUUUGCAGAAAAAAUUCUAAAUAACUGACUUCCUGUUGGGAUUCGGAUUUCAUACUAAGAGACUUUUUCGUAGAUAUUGGUGUGUUACAUGUGUGUACCGAUUUUUGUACAUGUACGUGAAACAUAGCUCGAGGCACACUCCAUUUAAAGUGUAUACGCACUCCGUUGAAAGUGUAUAGGUGGCGCUAUCGAGCCAUUUUGCCACACUCGAUGGAAUAUUGGCCUUCAUAUCUGUUUAGGCCAGGACCUUUAUCACACAAGUGAAGUUUGGGCAAGAUCGGACAUUUUAUGCCUGAGUUAUAACAUCUUUUAUUCCCAUGGCGAGACAUCGAACUUCAUCACGGCGCCAUGGACACACCUUUUAACAAAAACUCAAGAUCUUCACAACUAAACAUCACACAGGUCUUUAGAUUAGACUGACCACAAAAAAAGACAUUGAUGUCAUAAAAUUUCUAGGAGUAGUUUGUCGCAGUGUAAAAUAUGUAACCUCCUGUUGCCAAUAGGUGGCGCUAUGACUAUAACUGAAUAUUGGCAUGUAGAUCUGUUCAGGUCAAGAGUCUUAUCCAACAUGUGAAGUUUGGGGCAGAUUGGACAUUGUAUGUCUGAGUUACAGCAACUUCCUUUUUCAUGGCGAAACAUCGAAAUUUGUCAGGCCGCCAUGGACCCGCCCUUUAACGAAACCUCAAGUCCUUUGCAAUUUAUUAUCGCAAAGGGCUUUAGAUUACACUGACCAAGUUUGGUGUUGAUCUGAAUAAAUCUGUAGGAGGAGUUCGUUAAAGUACAACCCCUGAAAAUGGCAAAAACAACAGCAAUUUUGAAGGGAAAAUUCAAAAUAACCGACUUCCUGUUGGGAUCCGGAUUUCGUACCAAGAGACUUUUUUGUAGGUAUUGGAGUGUUACAUGUGUGUACCAAUUUUUGUACAUGUAUGUGAAACAUAGCUCGAGGCGCACUCCGUUGAAAGUGUAUAGGUGGCGCUAUAGAGCCAUUCUGCCACACCCGGUGGAAUAUUGGCCUGAAGAUCUGUUCAGGCCAGGACUCUUAUCACACAUGUGAAGUUUGGGGAAGAUCGGACAUCUUAUGCCUGAGUUAUAACAUCUUUUAUUCACAUGGCGAGACAUCGAACUUCGUCGCGACGCCAUGGACACGCCCUUUAACGAAAACUCAAGAUCUUCUCAAUUUAACAUCGUACAGGCCUUUAGAUUAGACUGACGACAAAAAAGACAUUGAUGUCAAAAAUUUCUAGGAGUAGUUUGUCGCAGCUUAAAAUAUGUCACUUCCUGUUGCCAAUAGGUGGCGCUAUGACUAUAACUGAAUAUGGUCAUGUCAAACUGUUCAGGACAGGAGUCUCAUCAAACUUGUGAAGUUUGGGGCAGAUUGGUCAUUGUAUGUCUGAGUUAUAGCAACUUCCUGUUUCAUGGCGAAUCAUCGAAAUUCACCAGGCCGCCACACACAGGCCCUUCAACGAAAACUCAAAAGCUUCGCAAUUUAACAUCGCAAAGGCCUUUAGAAUAGGCAUACCAAAUUUGGUGUUGAUCUGAAUUAAUCUCUAGGAGGAGUUCGUUAAAAUACAACGCAUGGAAAUGACAAAAAUGACACAAAAUUUGCUCAUAAUAUUAGAAAUAACCGACUUCCUGUUGGGUUUCGGAUUUUGCUCCAAGAGACUUUUUUGUAGGUAUUGGAGAGUUACAUGUGUAUACCGAUUUUCAUACAUGUACAUGAAACGUAGCUCGAGGCGCACACCGUUGAACGUGUAUAGGUGGCGCUGUUGAGCCAUUUUGCCACACCCACUUCUGAAACCCAUAUCAGACGUAAAUUUUCGCCAGUUCUGAGGUGUGUGCAAAGUUUCAUGACUUUUCGAGCAUGUUUAGGCCCUCAAAAAUGCGAUUCAUCUUAGAGAAGAAGAAUAAUAAUAAUAAUAAUAAUAAUAAUAAACGGAGCAAUUCCAAGAGGGUCCUCACACCAUCGGUGCUCGGGCCCUAAA